CAGUCGCCGCGGUAAUACGUAUGUCACGAGCGUUAUCCGGAUUUAUUGGGCUUAAAGCGCGUCUAGGUGGUUAUAUAAGUCUGAUGUGAAAAUGCAGGGCUCAACUCUGUAUUGCGUUGGAAACUGUAUAACUAGAGUACUGGAGAGGUAAGCGGAACUACAAGUGUAGAGGUGAAAUUCGUAGAUAUUUGUAGGAAUGCCGAUGGGGAAGCCAGCUUACUGGACAGAUACUGACGCUGAAGCGCGAAAGCGUGGGUAGCAAACAGGAUUAGAUACCCCUGUAGUCCCUGUCUCUUAUACA
rnacentral:rRNA from 1 species